GCAAUGCCUAUGAAAGGACUUGUGAUUGAGAGGAAGGAGUUUUCACCACCAGUGGAAAAACUGCUGAUGCUUCCUGCUCCAAAAACAGCUGCUGAGGAGGCCAGGAAGAAAAACUUUACAUCUAAGCAAAUUCAGCUAAAGUGCCGAAGGAUUCUUUUUGAACUGCUGGCAUCUGACAGGCAGCCAGAACCUGAAGAUUUGGAAGUUAAACAGCUGCAAGAAUGUCCAAGCCCUCGAUGGUGUCAUGCUAUGUGCC
rnacentral:lncRNA from 1 species